rnacentral:rRNA from 1 species
CCGGGAAACCGGGGCUAAUACCGGAUGGUUGUUUGAACNNNAUGGUUCAAACAUAAAAGGUGGCUUCGGCUACCACUUACAGAUGGACCCGCGGCGCAUUAGCUAGUUGGUGAGGUAACGGCUCACCAAGGCGACGAUGCGUAGCCGACCUGAGAGGGUGAUCGGCCANNNUGGGACUGAGACACGGCCCAGACUCCUACGGGAGGCAGCAGUAGGGAAUCUUCCGCAAUGGACGAAAGUCUGACGGAGCAACGCCGCGUGAGUGAUGAAGGUUUUCGGAUCGUAAAGCUCUGUUGUUAGGGAAGAACAAGUACCGUUCGAAUAUGGCGGUACCUUGACGGUACCUAACCAGAAAGCCACNNNUAACUACGUGCCAGCAGCCGCGGUAAUACGUAGGUGGCAAGCGUUGUCCGGAAUUAUUGGGCGUAAAGGGCUCGCAGGCGGUUUCUUAAGUCUGAUGUGAAAGCCCCCGGCUCAACCGGGGAGGGUCAUUGGAAACUGGGGAACUUGAGUGCAGAAGAGGAGAGUGGAAUUCCACGUGUAGCGGUGAAAU